rnacentral:tRNA from 1 species
GCGAGCAUGGCGGAAUCGGCAGACGCGCUAUCUUGAGGGGGUAGUGAGAGAAAUCUCGUGUGGGUUCAAGUCCCACUGUUCGCA